GGACAAGCGCCAGUAAACAGUAGAAAAAGAAAAAGGAGAAGCCCCUCCCUGCUUGUCCAGUGUGAACACCAUGGACUACUAGACCCAUGUUCAAGAACCUUCUUGAAAGUGCAUCAGAUGACGUGUGAACGUAGCAUUCCAGCCACUCAGGAUGAUUGUGUUUCCAGGUCUGAAAAAAACCCGACGGGGAUGUUCAAUUGUUCUCCGUUCUUCUGCUGGCUCCCAGCCAGCAGCUCCUUCACGACACAAGGAGCUGGUACUAUCGGCUUCCCUCUCCUCUUCCUGCUUGCUUUCCUGUUGGUGACUGAAACGAGUUGCUCUAAUGCAACAAUGAUGGUGAUUCCACUCUGCUUAUCCAAGCAGGCCUGCCUGAGUCGUCGUUCCUUCAAAGCUGAGGUAAAAAGUUCACAUUAUUAUUGUUUGCUCCCUUUUCCUCCAUUUCGAAGCGCUUUGUUGUCUGCAGCGUGCCGCUAACAGGCCUGCCAAAUAUAGAGCAUAUUUCACGUAUCGGUUUAACAUCACGGCAGCCGUUCCUGUCCACAAUCGCUGGCAGGUUUCUGCAGGGGGAAAGCCGUAAAGCGAAGACCACAACCUUUAACAUCAUUGUGUGCUUGACUCAUCCCCAAGGACGGGAUUGAUAAAAGAUGAUCAGUAGGAAAAUGGAUAGCACUGAUUAAAUAAACAUCCUGGAAAUGAUCUCUGUGACCUGCGGGGAGCGCGGCAGUCACUCGCUCUUCGCCUGGGUUAAAGAAUCAAGUGAGAUGAUUCAUUUGACUGGCGCAGGUAGUUGAGUUUGAUGGAUCAUUCCUAAAAGCAUCAUGGCUAAUCUUCAGCUCCUCUUUUUUAGGUUAUUCACAGAUCAGUGAGUUUUCCGGCUAAUCGUGGACCUGACGCUGCUCCUGUCUGUGUACAUGGUAUUCAUCAUACUCUGACAAGGAGAGUCCUUCAGACGACAAAUAACCUUCAGAGAGAGGAGGCAGGCGAGCGGGAUGUGUGCGGUUAUUUUGGAUACAUUUCACAGUGGAGUAGGAAAGCUGCAUGGGGAGAUGUAUGGUGUCCUUGUUGGCUGCAAAGAGAUGGACCCCUCUCUGUUUCCUAGCAUAAUCAUUCUGAGCCUCAGCCAUGCCUUCGACAACUCAAUCAGACAGCCCUCUACCUGUAAAGUGGCUGGGUUGAUUUGAUUGCCAUUUUUAUUGGAUCCCGGUCACAUAAAUCAAACCAAUGGGGACGUCUGUACAGACGUGACCACUCGUCAUUCGCUAGUAGCCUUGGAAACAUUGUUUCGGGGGCCGCGCGGCUGUCAUUGAAGGUAAAUCAGGGGUCUAAAGUUUCUUUCCUCCAACACAGGAGCAUGAAGUUAAAUCAUCUUGAAAAUUGAUGCCACUGCUCCCAAGUGUUUUCACCUAUCCUUUAGAUAGAGUCCCAUCAACUGUUGACAAUGUCAGCACUUUCACCCUCUUCUGGAAGAUGCUUCCUGUGCUCGGGCCUCCCUUGUUGCUUUCUGAAGAUUCCGCUGAAGCAGUGGUCCCCGACCACCGGGACAGUUGGAACCGGGCCGCAAAAAACAAAACAAAACAUUUUUUUGUUGUAUUUAUAAUAUGAUCUUGAAGGAAGUUUUAUUUUGAAAAACUACUGUGUUCUCUCCGCCAAAUCUAACAUGAGUUAGAUGACCCGUGUCAAGCUGAGUGACCCGACGCAUGUCACAUGUCAAAAAUACAUCCAUUGUUUCCUUAAAGAAGCUUCGCAGAACGCUAAAUUAAAAUCCUCAAGAUAGUAAAUUUAACAAAAAACAAACGUACCGUAUUUGGAACUUUUUUUUUUUUGCAGAAAAGAGCCAGUGAGGAAACAACCUUUGACUUCAAAAUAAAAGAAAUCUGCAUUUCACAGACAAAAACCAGGAGUGUUUUCUUCAAGUAUGAAUUUAUUGUGGCAAUUGUUCGCACAGACCAAAAUAAUCAUGCAUACUAUUCAGCAAGCAGCUUUCUAAUGCUGCUAAUAAAGUUGUCCAAGCAGUGAAAUUGCUUGAAAGUUGGCAUCCGAUUUUUUGGCUCCCACUUUGACAGUUAUGGGUUAAAGGAAAAUUUAUAUCACAUUUAAAUGGUUCCUUCAUGAAAUCUAGUGUACAAAUAAAGUUGAAAGCAGCUGCAGACAUUUAAAAAAAGGAUAAAGAUAAACUUUACCCUGAAACGUUUAGGGAAACAGGAGGCUAAAAAGCAGCGGGCUUUACUAACUUCUGCCCUAGGUGAGAUCAGAAUACAGAGUUUACUUUCAGGUAAAGUAGGACACCAUUUUGUCUUUGAAAGUUAAUGCAUUGUUCAGCCGUGUCUGGUGAGCCUUUUGAUUCAGUAUGAAGUGAUUAAGUCUAUCAUGUCCACCAGCGCUUACAGUGGGAACAUAUUAGAUUAAAUACAGGUAGCUAAUUUCCUCCUCUGCAUGGGUGAGUGGGAGUAUGAAUGAAAGUGAUGCAAAAUUAAUUUAGACCUCUAAAAUUUUGAUCACGCCGAGGCUAUUUUGGCUCUCAUGAUGACAAGUAAUAGGGGGGUUGUUGCUUCCUAACCUCCCAAUAUUAACCACGCUUGCCUAUAGGGCUUUCAGGAUCAAUUUCAUUCAGCAUAAAUAUCACUUGAUCUGUAAAACAAAUUAGAAACAAUAAAAGCCAUAAAAAUGCAGCCGAGCUCUAUUGAGAUGUCCCUUCUAGCCAUGUGUCAAGACUGAAGACAUUAAUGAUACAUGGAGGAGCGAAAAUUACCAUCUAGGAUACGUCCGAACCAGUAAACUGGUAAACAAGCCGGCCGUUAGGAGUGGGGAUGAUUUGAAUCAACAAGGGUGAACAGAUAUGGAUACUCCACGCAUUAGUGUUAAUAGGAAUAGAUUAUGGAGGGAUUUCGUGGAGUGACCUUCAGUGCACUAAUUGAAAUAGUAUUCCGAGUCAGCAGUGGAGUAAUCAACUUA